CGAGAGAGCGGCGGCUGCUCCAGCAUCCAGAGCAAGGGAGAGGCCGGAGCGGUGCCUGUGUCCCGCCGGGCCUCCGACAGCGCCCGGCCCGCUGCCUGCCCGGGCUCGGCGCUACAGGACCCCCCCCCCCAAAUCCGGAACGAUCACGGUGGGCAAUAGCUGGUUUGCCUUGAGUACUGAAGAUCUCAGUGUGCAAGUGGCACAAACCACUGACAGAGGAGUAGGCCAGUUUCAGCAUGGCUUUUGAAUCUAAGCAGAGGGAGCCCAGACCCACUUCCUGAGCUCUGAGACUGUUCAAUCAAGUCUUUCAGGGAUUCCCCUGGAGGAAUGUAAGUCUCAUCCUGUUCAAGUCCAAUGCUGUAACGAGGUCUGGUUUCUUGCCUUUUAUGCCUAUGAUUUUAGUGAAAAUUAAAUUAGUUGACAGUACAAUGAGGAAUGGAUGCUAUGUAGAAAACGCUACUCACAUUUAAUUUUUAGUCAUGCAUACGUUCCCAGCAAUUACUCAGUACGUGCUACUCAUCAACGACUAUUUUCUGAUCUAUUUGCAACGUUAGAAUGCUUUAGGUCUACGAAAGGGGCCGACUAUCAGCCUGCUUGGGGAAUCCAGCAUAAUUUUGCAUAGCCAAGUACCAAAAUUAAAACCCCUAAUUCAGAGAAUAGUCCUAAAAACAGCGAUGCAGCAAAUACCUCACCUUUUUGUUAUGAAUGUUGUGGGUCUUUUAUGACCAAAUAAAGGCAUUUUUAUGAAUUUGCCUAUGCUUUCUUUGUGUGCAACCUUGUGUGCACUGUGUUAAUCGGCUUAUGAGCUUUAUUUACUAUAGGGUGUCUUUACACCCAUUGUUUUCUUUCAUUUUCACUGUAUACUACUUUGUGUUAUUUCCCACUGGAAAGCUUUUUAGGACAUACUUUCUUUGAAGGAUGCUAUACAAAAGACCAACUAUAUUAUAGGCAUUAUAUUGAUGCCUUUGUAUAUUUUGCUAAUGUUAAAAUCACAAUUUUUCCCUAUAAUAUAAAAAAAGUUUUUUUAAUUGUUCUCCAAUUCCCUCCUGUUAAUUUUUUAU